UCCUAGUUAACCUAGGCAGUCUCAUUAGAGUUCCCAUCUUAUAUGUUGGCAACUAAUGAUAAGGGUUGCGCUCGUUGCGGGACUUAACCCAACAUCUCACGACACGAGCUGACGACAGCCAUGCAGCACCUGUGUUCCCGUUCCCUUUCGGGCACAGCCGGGUUUCCCCAGCCUCCAGGACAUGUCAAGCCUAGGUAAGGUUCUUCGCGUUGCGUCGAAUUAAACCACAUGCUCCACCGCUUGUGCGGGCCCCCGUCAAUUCCUUUGAGUUUCAACCUUGCGGUCGUACUCCCCAGGCGGGGUACUUCCUGCGUUAGCGCCGGCACCCAGAGGGUCGCUCCCCCAGGCACCUAGUACCCAUCGUUUACGGCGUGGACUAC
rnacentral:misc_RNA from 1 species